rnacentral:rRNA from 1 species
UACGGAGGGUGCGAGCGUUGUCCGGAAUCAUUGGGCGUAAAGGGCGCGUAGGUGGCGGGACAAGCGUGCGGUGAAAGCCUGGGGCUCAACCCCGGGUCGGCCGUGCGAACUGUUUUGCUUGAGCACUGUAGAGGCAGGCGGAAUUCCGGGUGUAGCGGUGGAAUGCGUAGAGAUCCGGAAGAACACCGGUGGCGAAGGCGGCCUGCUGGGCAGUAGCUGACACUGAGGCGCGACAGCGUGGG